rnacentral:rRNA from 1 species
CGGACGGGUGAGUAAUGUAUGGGGAUCUGCCCGAUGGAGGGGGAUAACUACUGGAAACGGUAGCUAAUACCGCAUAACGUCGCAAGACCAAAGAGGGGACCUUAGGGCCUCUUGCCAUCGGAUGUGCCCAGAUGGGAUUAGCUAGUAGGUGGGGUAAUGGCUCACCUAGGCGACGAUCCCUAGCUGGUCUGAGAGGAUGACCAGCCACACUGGAACUGAGACACGGUCCAG